CCAAGGCUUGACAUAUAGAGGAAAAGUGCAGAAAUGCACUCCCCGCAAGGUCUCUAUACAGGUGGUGCAUGGUUGUCGUCAGCUCGUGUCGUGAGAUGUUGGGUUAAGUCCCGCAACGAGCGCAACCCUUGUCCUAUGUUGCCAGCACGUUAAGGUGGGAACUCAUGGGAUACUGCCGGGGUCAACUCGGAGGAAGGUGGGGAUGACGUCAAAUCAUCAUGCCCCUUAUGUCUUGGGCUUCACGCAUGCUACAAUGGCCGGUACAGAGGGCAGCAAUACCGCAAGGUGGAGCGAAUCCCAAAAAGCCGGUCUCAGUUCGGAUUGAGGUCUGCAACUCGACCUCAUGAAGUUGGAGUCGCUAGUAAUCGUGGAUCAGCAACGCCACGGUGAAUACGUUCCCGGGUCUUGUACACACGCAAUC
rnacentral:rRNA from 1 species